UGGGGAAUUUUCCGCAAUGGGCGAAAGCCUGACGGAGCAAUACCGCGUGAGGGAAGAAUGCCUACGGGUUGUAAACCUCUUUUAUCAGGGAGGAAUAAAAUGACGUGUACCUGAUGAAUAAGCAUCGGCUAACUCUGUGCCAGCAGCCGCGGUAAGACAGAGGAUGCAAGUGUUAUCCGGAAUUACUGGGCGUAAAGCGUCUGUAGGUUGUUUAACAAGUCAACUGUUAAAUCUUGAAGCUCAACUUCAAAAUCGCAGUCGAAACUGUUAAACUAGAGUAUAGUAGAGGUAAAGGGAAUUUCCAGUGGAGCGGUGAAAUGCGUAGAUAUUGGGAAGAACACCGAUGGCGAAAGCACUUUACUGGGCUAUUACUGACACUCAGAGACGACAGCUAGGGUAGCAAAUGGG
rnacentral:rRNA from 1 species